rnacentral:lncRNA from 1 species
GAGGACCCACUUCUGAGAAGAUUCUCAGGAAUAUCAGCCUGCCUGGACUGGGGUAACUUGAAAGCUGGGUCAACUAGGAUGGGUCAGCAAAGCACCUACGCAUGGCCUCCCCAUGUGACUUGGACUUUUCACAAUAUGACAGCUGGCUUCUGAGAGGGAACUUCCUGAGAGGAGGCCCUCAGAAAAUGAACAUUGCAGGACCGGUGGAAGCUGCGUGGACUUUUCUGCCCUAACUUUGGAAAUUACACAGUGUCACUUCUGCAGGGCUUUACUGGUCAAUGCAGUCACAAGCCUGCUCAGAUUUCAUGGUAGACACCCCGCCUCUCAAUGGAGGGGUGUCAAAUACUUGGGCCUAGGCUUUUAAACCACCACCAUUAUGAGAUAUAUUUGUUCACAGUGUGGAAGAUGGGCUGGAGGGGAUAAAAUCAGAUCACAUGCGUAUGUAGAGGCUGAGGGGGAGGAGGACUCUUCCUGACUGAAAAGGGCUGAGAAUGGGGGAGGGACAGUUCCCAAAUGAAAACUGGGUAGUAUAGCAGACAAGGAGGAAAUGAGUUUGAAGGGUCUGAACACAUCCGAGAGGUAGCGGGCACUCAUUGAUUAAAUGGCCAGCAUAGAUAAUUGUCUUGAUAAAAGUUGGAUAUUGAGUCAAAUUGAGAAUCAAGAAAGCAAUUGGGGCUGCAGAUUUCGGAGCCAUCAGCAUACGAAUGGUAGUUACAGGAGUUCAAGACCAGCCUGGGCAACAUGGCAAAACUCCAUCUGUAUGAAAAAUACAAAAAUUAGCUUGGCAUGGUGGUGCACACUUCUAGUCUCAGCUACUCAGGAGGCUGAGGAUUACAGGUGUGAGCCACCAUGCCUGGGCCAUUUAUGUCUUUUGAUCAUUUUUCCAUAGGGUUGUAUCUUUUUAUUUGUUUGUGGAAGUUUUUUAUCUAUUCUUGACACCGAUCUAUUGUUGUCUACUAUCUCUUCUCAGUUUGCAAUUAGUUUCUUUACUUUUGCUUUCCCUAAGGUAGCUUUUGAAGAACACAUGUUCUUAAGUUUAUUGUAGUCAAAUGUAUUUAUCCCUUAUAUUAUUGCCAUUUUUUUUGUCUCUUGUUUAAGCAACCUUUCGCUAUUCAGUCUUAAACAUAUCUGGAUAGAUAGAUAGAUAGAUAUAAAGAGAUAGAUAUAGAUAUAGUUUGGUGUUUUGGGGGUUUUUUUUGUUUGUUUGUUUGUUUGUUUUUUAGAUG